rnacentral:rRNA from 1 species
GUUAGGAAUUUUACGCAAUGGACGAAAGUCUGACGUAGCAAUGCCGCGUGAGUGACGAAGGCCUUCGGGUUGUAAAGCUCUUUUAGUUGGAAAGAAAAAAAUGACGGUACCAACAGAAAAAGCACCGGCUAACCCUGUGCCAGCAGCCGCGGUAAUACAGGGGGUGCAAGCGUUAUUCGGAGUUACUGGGCGUAAAGCGCACGUAGGUGGUUUAGUAAGUCUGGUGUGAAAUCCCCGGACUCAAUUCGGGAAGUGCAUUGGAUACUACUAGACUAGAGUAUAGGAGGGGAGAGCGGAAUUCCUGGUGUAGAGGUGAAAUUCGUAGAUAUCAGGAGGAACAACGGAGGCGAAGGCGGCUCUCUAGACUAUAACUGACACUCAGGUGCGAAAGCGUGGGGAGCAAACAGGAUUAGAAACCCCGGUAGUCC